AGGACGAACGCUGGCGGCGUGCUUAACACAUGCAAGUGGAGCGACGAACCAGGGCUUGCCCUGGGGCAGAGCCGCGAACGGGUGAGUAACACGUGGGUUACCUGCCUCGAUGACCGGGACAACCCGAGGAAACUCGGGCUAAUACCGGAUGUGCCCGCAAGGGGAAAGGAAGCUUCGGCCUCCGCAUCGAGAUGGGCCCGCGGCCCAUUAGCUUGUUGGUGAGGUAACGGCUCACCAAGGCUUCGAUGGGUAGCUGGUCUGAGAGGACGAUCAGCCACACUGGGACUGAGACACGGCCCAGACUCCUACGGGAGGCAGCAGUGGGGAAUCUUGCGCAAUGCGCGAAAGCGUGACGCAGCAACGCCGCGUGGGGGAAGAAGGCUUUCGGGUUGUAAACCCUUUCAGUUGGGACGAAGCUUCGUCGGUGAAUAGCCGGCCGGAGUGACGGUACCUUCACAAGAAGCACCGGCUAACUACGCGCCAGCAGCCGCGGU
rnacentral:rRNA from 1 species